rnacentral:rRNA from 1 species
GAAACCGUUCAGGGGUAAACCUGAGAAACCCAAAAGUUCGAAUGGGGAGAUUCAUCGGCAGCCAGGCUGGCUACCGUUGAUGCGUGAUACCCUGACUCUGGGCCUUCGUGGUGUUCCAAUGUCGAGGGCACACAAUCUUCGGCGAACGUUCCGGCUAUAGGCAGUCGUGCACUUCUCCCUUAGUAGAACGUCGCGACCCGUUGCGUGUCGGUCUACGGCCCGAGUUGUUUGCCUGGCGCGUCGUCUUGUGCGUACGCGUCAGACGCUCGUUCGCUCGACCGGCUGCGUGACGGUAUUCUGACGGUAUCGGGCAGCAACCAAUCCAUUUUCGAAUGUACGUGCGUCAGGCCCAUCGCAAGCUCGGUCAGUUUACCCGGAGGUCGGACCUGGUGCCGUCCCCGGGCCUGGCCAGCUGCUAGCAGGUGGUGUCCUUGGACUGGCCAAGCUUCGAAUUACCGGUCGGCGACGCUACUGCUUUGGGUACUCUCAGGACCCGUCUUGAAACACGGACCAAGGAGUCUAACAUGUGCGCGAGUCAUUGGGAUAUUAUAAACCUAAAGGCGCAAUGAAAGUGAAGGUCGGCCUAUGUGUCGACCGAGGGAGGAUGGGCCGCGCUUUAAGAUUUGCGGCCUCGCACUCCCGGGGCGUCUCGUUCUCAUUGCGAGAAGAGGCGCACCCAGAGCGUACACGUUGGGACCCGAAAGAUGGUGAACUAUGCCUGGUCAGGACGAAGUCAGGGGAAACCCUGAUGGAGGUCCGUAGCGAUUCUGACGUGCAAAUCGAUCGUCGGAACUGGGUAUAGGGGCGAAAGACUAAUCGAACCAUCUAGUAGCUGGUUCCCUCCGAAGUUUCCCUCAGGAUAGCUGGCACUCGGUCGUUCCUACGUUGAACGCAUGCGAGUCUCAUCUGGUAAAGCGAAUGAUUAGAGGCCUUGGGGCCGAAACGACCUCAACCUAUUCUCAAACUUUAAAUGGGUGAGAUCUCUGGCUUGCUUGAAUUAUCAUGAAGCCACGAGAUUUUGGAUCAGAGUGCCAAGUGGGCCAAUUUUGGUAAGCAGAACUGGCGCUGUGGGAUGAACCAAACGCAGAGUUAAGGCGCCUAAGUCGACGCUUAUGGGAUACCAUGAAAGGCGUUGGUUGCUUAAGACAGCAGGACGGUGGCCAUGGAAGUCGGAA